CGUCUGUUCCCUGCCCUCUCGAGCCUGCUCAACCUAUCCGCCGCUUCCCUGAAUCCCGAUCCCCUCCUGUGUGCCCGCCGCUGCGAGCGUCCACCAUCACGAGCGCCCCCGAACCCUCCAUGCGCCGUAGCCCUGCCUCCGCCUUCCGCCGUGUCGCCGUCACCGGCAUCGCGCCCGCCUCCUCUGUGACCCCGUGUAGCACCCCAGCUCCCCGUCCACCUUCGCUCCUCCCUGCCCCCGCCCCCCUGCGCCAUUGUGCCGAUUGUUGAGCCCCGCCUCUGCGGGUCGGUGUUGGUGUCGGGGAUCCGUUCUGCACGCUGCUUGUUCGCCUUGGUUCGGUGUCGGGGAAGGAUUUUUCCUUAACCUCCUCUGCACCGCCACUAAUCCACUACCACGCCACCUGACCCAUCUCUCUCUGUGUCCAUGGUGAGGUAAUGGUCGACGGUGGCGACGCGAGUGGCCUAAGCAGGCAGCGCGGAAGCUGACGAGGACGUGCUGCGGCAGUGCGCUGGACGGGGACGUCUAGUGCCUCCAGCGCUCGAGGAAUAUCAAGGGCCUCAAGGCGUUGUACAAGCUGUUUAACAAGAUAAUCAGUGCCAUAAGGGAUGACAAGCUGAUUAUUAAGGAGGAGUUUCAGUUGGAGCUGUUUAAGGCAGCAGGAGGAUAGCAUGUUCACUGACCGUUGAUACAAUUGUGUAUUCAAUGGAGCCUCACCAAAUGUGCAGCUGGUCCUUAAGCGAACAAUGGAGGAAGGACAUCUCUGAAUUUUGGUGGGAGCUAGGAGGUUGGUUCAGGUUGAAGUUGCUGUCAACUAAGAAUUAGCAGAUGGAGUGGCAAGUUCUCAUCUUGUGAUGGUGACGAUGAGUACCAGAAGUUUGGGGAACACUGCAUCGUACAAUUCGCGGAACAAUCCAUUUUAUACAUCUUUGAAUGACAGUCAAUUUUGUCAAUCUUACCUAUAGAGUGCCAUAGUCCAUGGGAGAUCACAGCGAGUACGUGUACUGGUUGCUCGAGAUCGAGGAAGAUGAGCAGAGAAUUGGCAUUCUUUAUGGAGGCAAACAGCCGCCGAGAGGUCAGUGCAGAUAGUGGUGUUUAUCUCUGCAUUGUUACGUCCUAAGUUUCCAGUGAACAUCACCUUAAAUCAGUGGAAAUAUUUUCUUUAUUUGACAAGGUAAGGUUAAUCCUCUAAUUAAAUGUUGCAUUUGUCCCAAAGAGAUGAGCAGAAUAAUUAUAUAUUACAAUACCAAUGUGUGCAGAGAGAUGUUUACAUUAGCAUAGAAAAAUAUGAAAAAGAGGGUGGAGGGAGAACAGAGCUAUUCCAGGGACUGCAGCUAGGAUUCGAAAGGGCCUCGUCCUCUGCAACUCAAAUUCAGGCAAUACAUUUGUCGUGUCAAGUUAUAUUGGAAGAGGUGGUAGAGCAUCUAGGAGGGCUGCCACCCAUUUACAAUUCGAGCCAACGAUACGGAGAAUGGCAAGCGUGCACGGCUGCGCGUAUACCCAAUCUUAUUGAAUCGUAUUGAACCUGGCAGAUUAGAUGAAGCAUCUAUAUAUAGCCAGAGACCUUCAACCACUCCUAAAGCUGCUGAAGAGAAAACAACAGAGAGCCUCAUAGCUUCUUUGUGCAGCAAAAAGGAAUUUGAGAUCAAUGAUAUACACGCUACAUGUACAGCAACAUGACAUAGUUGCAUCUGCAAGAAAAUAGAUCCUCAAAGGAAAGGGAAAAUGUGACGAUGAGUACCAGAACUAUAUCACACCAAUGGUGCCGACGUACCUCCCUCAUACGCGGUCUCCGACAUCAUCUUGCACUAUCUCAAGCAGUGUUGCUAGGAAGGAGCUGAAUGGAAGUGAAUUAGCUUUUCACUUCUUGCCGUGUAUUGCUACUAUGAUUUUCACCUUUUUGCUAGCUGUUGGUUGGUCUGUAAAGUAUAUAUACUCUCUUUCCAUCAACAACACAACAUGAACCAUAUAGAACCAUUGAUUCACUUGGCCCAAGCCAUUAUAUAUAUCAUACCUUUGGAGCAUUUCA